rnacentral:misc_RNA from 1 species
GGCAUUUUCACCGAAGCCUCUACUCCUUUUGUCUUCAACAUUUCUCCUUGAAAUUAUUUCUUUUCAGCGAAAACAGUCUGUAGUUGUAACUUUCUCACACAUACAGUGAAAAUCUCCUCUGUGGAUCAUUAAAAAGGUAAGCUUGAAAUAGCUUUUCUUUUAUGAUUUUACUAUUUUUAGCUUUGGUUCAUCGCGUUGAUCAAUCCUUGUCUGAUUUCCUGAGCAAGUUUCGGUAUUCAUUUCCAAGAAUUUGUGAAACACUGGUCUAGAUUACUGGGUCUUGUUGGGAAUUUUGUUUUAACUUCACUUAUCAAGAGUCUCUUUCAUUGUGUUUAUUCAGUUUCCAAGUUUUGGGUUUGUGAGAAUCAUGAGAAAUUAAGUUCCAGAUAUGCUUUUGGCCGGUUAGGACUUGGUAUAAUAUGUAUUGGGUUUGUAGGAUUUUUGUGGGAUUUUGAUUUUAUUUUUACCCUCUUCUGUAAUUGCCAAGGAAAUGGUGGAAAUUGGAAGGAGGUGGAAUGUUGGGGUUUUAUGCUCUUUUGUGUUUUAGUUUCUAAUUUUGGAGAUAUCAGCUUGGGUGAGCGGUGAGCCAAGUGCUUACAUUAGGCUUAGUUAAGUGGUUUUGCUGCUUUCUUAAAUAUUGGCAUAUGUGAAAUUUGAGAUUUUAUAUUGUUUCCUAUUCCUUCUUUUCUCAGCCACUGAACAUCAUUAGCGUUUUGGAAUUUUGGGAUUCAGUUUGUUGACAUAUGGAUACUUCAGGUUUGGGAGGGCGUUUUCUGUCCCAUCCAACAGGUGGAUUAUUAAACCUCGAGUCACCAAUUCAUCGACAACAGCAGACCCAAUUGGGUCUUCCUUCGUUAGCCCAUCAAAAUCAUAUGAAUUUAGUAGGUGGCCAUGAGAAUGAUCAUCAAACCAUUGGGCUAAUGGAAGUGAAAGGCUCAAUCCCAAAAGGAUAUUCAGCAGUUUUCAGUAAAGGGAAAGCUGUUAGCCCUUUUAAUGCCACAAAUAAUGGCAGUGUGAGUGAGGAUGAUGAACCAAGCUUUACAGAAGAUGGGAAUGGUGAGAACACCAGUGGAGCUAAGGGUAAAAAGGGAUCCCCAUGGCAGCGAAUGAAAUGGACGGAUAAUGUGGUUAGGCUUCUUAUAGCAGUAGUCGCUUAUGUGGGUGAUGAUGGUGCAUUUGAGGGUGUUGAGGGGCUUAAGAGGAAAUCUGGGAUUCUGCAGAAGAAAGGUAAGUGGAAAUCGGUGUCAAAGAUAAUGAUCAGUAAGGGCUGUCAUGUUUCACCACAACAAUGUGAAGAUAAGUUUAAUGAUUUGAAUAAGCGGUACAAGAGGUUGAAUGAUAUUCUUGGAAGGGGAACCAGUUGUAGAGUGGUAGAGAAACCUGCUCUUAUGGACUCAAUGCCUCAUCUUUCAGCUAAAUCAAAGGAUGAUGUUAGAAAGAUAUUGAGUUCAAAACAUUUGUUUUAUAGGGAAAUGUGUGCUUACCAUAAUGGACAGAGGAUACCCGACUGCCAAGAUAUUGACCUACAGGGCUGUUCACUACCCCUUGAAAGGUGCUCAAGAGACAAUAAUGGCUCAGAGGAAGAGGAAGCUGGGGGACAUGAUGAUAGUGAUGAUGAUGAAUCAGAUAAUGAAAGUGACCUUAAUGCUUAUGAGGAUGGGGAGAGGAUGGGCAAGUAUGAGAAGAAUAAAGUAAAUGAAGAGGAUGACCAUCUUUGGGCUCAAUCAGGUUUGUGCAAUGGCUUUGAGGUCGAAAUGUCUGGGAUUCUUCAAGAUCCUAUGGUGUCAUUGUGGGAGAAAAAGGAGUGGAUUAAGAAACAGAAGUUGCAGCUCCUUGAGCAGAGGGUCAGCAUCCAGGCUCAAGCAGGUGAGCUUGAGAAAAGACGCUUCAAGUGGUUGAGAUAUUGCAGCAAGAAAGAUAGGGAGUUUGAUAGAUUAAGGCUGGAAAAUGAGAGGAUGAGACUAGAGAAUGAGCAAAGCAUAUUGCAACUGAGGCAGAAGCAACUGGAAAUGGAUUUCAGGAGCUCAGAAACAUCUCGAGACCUCACUUCCCUUGGUAUUGACAGAACGCAAGGAAGAGGUCAAAUUGAUCUGGACAGGCAUCAAUAGAUCCUUCAAAGUUUAAAGACUUGUCAAUCCACUCCUGCUCUCUUGUAUGAUUGUCCCCAACUGAACUUUUCUAGCGUUAUGUAAAUGGAGUAUCUAGCCUUGUGCACCACGUGUAUCGCUUUAGAUUGACAUUAGGAAUUUCUGAUAUAUAUAUUUUUUGAGCAUUUUGCUUCUUCUUCUUCUUCUUUU